rnacentral:rRNA from 1 species
GACGAAGGGGGCUAGCGUUGUUCGGAAUUACUGGGCGUAAAGCGAGUGUAGGUGGUUGUCCAAGUUGGAUGUGAAAGCCUUGAGCUCAACUCAAGAAAUGCAUUCAGGACUGGGCGGCUAGAGGACCGGAGAGGAUAGUGGAAUUCCCAGUGUAGUGGUGAAAUACGUAGAGAUUGUGAAGAACACCAGUGGCGAAGGCGGCUAUCUGGACGGUACUGACGCUGAGGCGCGAAAGCGUGGGGAGCGAACAGG